UACGUAGGGUGCAAGCGUUGUCCGGAAUUAUUGGGCGUAAAGAGCUCGUAGGCGGUUUGUCGCGUCUGCUGUGAAAACUCAGGGCUUAACCCUGAGCCUGCAGUGGGUACGGGCAGACUAGAGUGUGGUAGGGGAGAUCGGAAUUCCUGGUGUAGCGGUGGAAUGCGCAGAUAUCAGGAGGAACACCGGUGGCGAAGGCGGAUCUCUGGGCCAUAACUGACACUGAGGAGCGAAAGCAUGGGGAGCGAACAGG
rnacentral:rRNA from 1 species